UCGAGUGAACCUUUCGUCAUGAAGUUUACCGACAACACAUUUAUUGCCUAUCAAAGAACAAGAUCUAAAAUAGCAUUUAGGAACAGGUAAAUGAAACUUGAUAAUGGAACCAUAGGGUAAAUAUGAGUGAACCUUUCAUCAUAAAGUUUACCAGCAACACAUUUAUUGCCUAUCGAAGAACAAGAUCUAAAAUAGCAUUUAGGAAUAGGUAAACGAAACUUGAUAAUGGAAACAAGUUAAACGCAUAGGGUAAAUAUCAUCACAUUGUAAAUUAACGAAUUAACAGAAACUGACAAGUGAAAGGGUAAAAAGGAUUACAGCAAAUGACAAGUUCAAAAAUAGAUGUUAACUC
rnacentral:lncRNA from 1 species